rnacentral:rRNA from 1 species
CAGGCCUAACACAUGCAAGUCGAGCGGUAACAGGACUAGCUUGCUAGUUGCUGACGAGCGGCGGACGGGUGCGUAACACGUAGGAAUCUGCCUAGUAGUGGGGGAUAGCCCGGAGAAAUUCGGAUUAAUACCGCAUACGCCCUAAGGGGGAAAGCAGGGGAUCUUCGGACCUUGCGCUAUUGGAUGAGCCUGCGUCGGAUUAGCUAGUUGGUGGGGUAAAGGCCUACCAAGGCGACGAUCCGUAGCUGGUCUGAGAGGAUGAUCAGCCACACUGGGACUGAGACACGGCCCAGACUCCUACGGGAGGCAGCAGUGGGGAAUAUUGCACAAUGGGCGCAAGCCUGAUGCAGCCAUGCCGCGUGUGUGAAGAAGGCUCUAGGGUUGUAAAGCACUUUCAGCGAGGAGGAAAGGUGACAGAUUAAUACUCUGUUGCUGUGACGUUACUCGCAGAAGAAGCACCGGCUAACUCCGUGCCAGCAGCCGCGGUAAUACGGAGGGUGCGAGCGUUAAUCGGAAUUACUGGGCGUAAAGCGUGCGUAGGCGGCUAUUUAAGUUGGAUGUGAAAGCCCUGAGCUCAACCUGGGAACUGCAUCCAAAACUGGGUAGCUAGAGUGCGGAAGAGGAGUGUGGAAUUUCCUGUGUAGCGGUGAAAUGCGUAGAUAUAGGAAGGGACACCAGUGGCGAAGGCGACACUCUGGUCUGACACUGACGCUGAGGUACGAAAGCGUGGGGAGCAAACAGGAUUAGAUA